CAUCUGUCAUGGAAGACCAAGAGCAUGCCUCAGAAGAGCAGAGGCAGCACAGUGCUAGAAAAAAUAAGCGGCCAUUUAUUGAUGCUAUAAGAGCAUGCUUUUGUGCAUGUUUCACCAAAAAACGGAGCUCUUCUUCCCACUACAAAAAAUAGAAGAGAAAACAUAAAAAAGUGAUGUUUAUAAAGCAGAAGAGAACACUGUGCAUUUAAAAUGAAUUAUUCUCAUCCUAGAACUUGGACAAGCCUACGACAAUUGCCUGACAACUUCUCCGACCAUCCACAAUAAGACAACUCAGGAGAAAAUCUGUCUCUUCUCCAAUAAUUGCUUCAAAAAAAGCACAUUUUUAUUUUAUGUUUUAGAAUAAUAUAGUAUUAUAUUACAUAAUCUUCAGUGUUAUUUUCACCUAUUUAUUUUGUUUUAUUAUGUUAUACUAUAUUACACUAUUAUAUUAUCUUGUUUUUAUUUCCAUA